UGGCAGAGCUGGCUCCUGUCGUAAAGCCCCGCUGUUCAGGUGGCCACGCAGCGUGGACAGCACAUGCUGCCCCACAGGGGAGCCUGGGCCUCCUGGGGAGGACGCCGAGGGCACACGGUGACACCUCCAUCCCACACCCUGGACUCCCGACUUCUGUGGGACACAUCCGUGGCAAGGACUCCGCACACUGGUGGCAACACAAGGCAGAAGACACAGCAACGGCUCUCUGCAAUCCCUCGGCUGUGUGACCCGGGGCAAGACACUUGGCCUCUCUGGGCCUUAGGACACGGGGAAACUCGAGGGUGCUCCCAGCUCCUCCCUCCCCCACGUCCUGCGUGGCUCCUGUUCCCACCACCCACCGCCCAGCGCCCACCGCGGCUCCUCAGGAAAACUUGUCUAAAACCCACUUUUGUUCUGGCGCCCCACCCCCACCCCAGCACACAAUGGCUUUUUAUGGGGCGGUGAGCGGAGCUCCAGGUCCCUGUGGGCCUAAAAAAUCUAAUAUUA
rnacentral:lncRNA from 1 species